rnacentral:lncRNA from 1 species
GGGACGUUUGUGAUGAUCUCCUGGUCGCUGACAUUUCUGGUUGCCGCUGCAAGCUCAUGAGCAUUGCAAGUUCUUACCACAUGGCUGACACAGUAAGCUGAAAAAACUGAGAGUGCUUGUUUAAUAUCCUUGAUCAGGGCAUAGCACUGUGAUCUGGAUUGGUCUCCCGCAGCUAGCUCUUUUAUGAUUGCAUGGCAAUCCAUCUCCAGGAUCAAAGGCCCGCUGUAGUAUUUUGCAAGAGCCUGCAGUCCGGCGAGG